rnacentral:rRNA from 1 species
GACGAACGCUGGCGGCGUGCCUAAUACAUGCAAGUCGAACGCUCUUUUCUAUGGAAGCUUGCUUCCACUGGGAAGAUAGUGGCGGACGGGUGAGUAACACGUGGGUAACCUGCCCAUAAGAGGGGGAUAACAUCCGGAAACGGGUGCUAAUACCGCAUAGGUUUCUUGGUCGCAUGAUCGAGAAAGGAAAGACGGCCUUUGUGCUGUCGCUUAUGGAUGGGCCCGCGCCUGAUUAGCUAGUUGGUGAGGUAAUAGCUCACCAAGGCGACGAUCAGUAGCCGAUCUGAGAGGAUGACCGGCCACACUGGAACUGAGACACGGUCCAGA